rnacentral:rRNA from 1 species
AGCGAACGCUGGCGGUAGGCCUAACACAUGCAAGUCGAACGGCAGCACAGUAAGAGCUUGCUCUUACGGGUGGCGAGUGGCGGACGGGUGAGGAAUACAUCGGAAUCUACUUUUUCGUGGGGGAUAACGUAGGGAAACUUACGCUAAUACCGCAUACGACCUACGGGUGAAAGUAGGGGAUCUUCGGACCUUGCGCGAUUGAAUGAGCCGAUGUCGGAUUAGCUAGUUGGCGGGGUAAAGGCCCACCAAGGCGACGAUCCGUAGCUGGUCUGAGAGGAUGAUCAGCCACACUGGAACUGAGACACGGUCCAGACUCCUACGGGAGGCAGCAGUGGGGAAUAUUGGACAAUGGGCGCAAGCCUGAUCCAGCCAUACCGCGUGGGUGAAGAAGGCCUUCGGGUUGUAAAGCCCUUUUGUUGGGAAAGAAAAGCAGCAGGUUAAUACCCCGCUGUUCUGACGGUACCCAAAGAAUAAGCACCGGCUAACUUCGUG